GUGAGGAAUAUUGCACAAUGGAGGAAACUCUGAUGCAGCAACGCCGCGUGGAGGAUGACGCAUUUCGGUGUGUAAACUCCUUUUAAGAGGGAAGAUAAUGACGGUACCUCUUGAAUAAGCACCGGCUAACUCCGUGCCAGCAGCCGCGGUAAUACGGAGGGUGCAAGCGUUACUCGGAAUCACUGGGCGUAAAGGGUGCGUAGGCUGGCUUUUAAGUCAGGUGUGAAAUCCAAUGGCUCAACCAUUGAACUGCACUUGAAACUGAGAGCCUAGAGUUCAGAAGGGGCAGAUGGAAUUAGUGGUGUAGGGGUAAAAUCCGUAGAUAUCACUAGGAAUAUCAAAAGCGAAGGCGAUCUGCUGGGAUGAUACUGACGCUGAGGCACGAAAGCGUGGGGAGCAAACAGGAUUAGAAACCCUAGUAGUCC
rnacentral:rRNA from 1 species